GAAAUGCGAUAAGUAAUGUGAAUUGCAGAAUUCAGUGAAUCAUCGAAUCUUUGAACGCACAUUGCGCCCGCCAGCACUCUGGCGGGCAUGCCUGUUCGAGCGUCAUUUCAACCCUCAGAACCCCUUGCGGGAUCUGGCGUUGGGGAUUGGCAUCCAGCCAGCCCCGAAAUCUAGUGGCGGUCCCUCCGCGACCUCCCCUGUGCAGUAGCGAUACCUCGCAGCGGGACAGCGGUCUGACCACGCCGUAAAACCCCCAACUUCUCAAGGAUGACCUCGAAUCAGGUAGGAAUACCCGCUGAACUUAAGC
rnacentral:misc_RNA from 1 species